rnacentral:rRNA from 1 species
AUUGAACGCUAGCGGGAUGCCUUACACAUGCAAGUCGAACGGAGUGGCGAACGGGUGCGUAAUGUAACGGAACGUGCCCAGUAGUGGGGGAUAACUACGCGAAAGCGUAGCUAAUUCCACAUACUAUUGGCGCGGCCGAUAUCGGUUUAGCUAGUUGGUGGGGUAACGGCGAACCCAGGCGACGAUCCGUAGCCGGUUUGAGAGGACGACCAGCCAAACUGGGACUGAGACACGGCCCAUAAUCCUACGGGCGGAAGCAGUGGGGAAUGUUGGACAAUGGGGGAAAGCAUGAUCGAGCCAUCCCGCGUGUGCGAUGAAGGCCUUCGGGUUGUAAAGCACUUUUGGCAGGAAAGCGGUACCUGCAGAAUAAGCACCGGCUAACUACGUGCCAGCAGCCGCGGUAAUAC